CAGUUGCCAGCAUGUCCUCCGGGGUGACGGGUACACUGUGGGACCGCCGCUGCUAAAGCGGAGGAAGGAAUGGCAACGGUAGGUCAGUAUGCCCCGAAUAUCCCGGGCUACACGCGAGCUACAAUGGUUGGUACAAUGGGUAUCUACCCCGAAAGGGGAUGGAAAUCUCCUAAAGCCAAUCUUAGUCCGGAUUGAGGGCUGCAACUCGCCCUCAUGAAGCUGGAAUCCGUAGUAAUCGCGUUUCAACAGAACGCGGUGAAUACGUCCCUGCUCCUU
rnacentral:rRNA from 1 species